rnacentral:rRNA from 1 species
GACGAACGCUGGCGGCGUGCUUAACACAUGCAAGUCGGACGGAAAGGCCCUGCUUUUGUGGGGUGCUCGAGUGGCGAACGGGUGAGUAACACGUGAGUAACCUGCCCUUGACUUUUGGAUAACUUCAGGAAACUGGGGCUAAUACCGGAUAGGAGCUCCUGCUGCAUGGUGGGGGUUGGAAAGUUUCGGCGGUUGGGGAUGGACUCGCGGCUUAUCAGCUUGUUGGUGGGGUAGUGGCUUACCAAGGCUUUGACGGGUAGCCGGCCUGAGAGGGUGACCGGCCACAUUGGGACUGAGAUACGGCCCAGACUCCUACGGGAGGCAGCAGUGGGGAAUAUUGCACAAUGGGCGGAAGCCUGAUGCAGCAACGCCGCGUGCGGGAUGACGGCCUUCGGGUUGUAAACCGCUUUCGCCUGUGACGAAGCGUGAGUGACGGUAAUGGGUAAAGAAGCACCGGCUAACUACGUG